GGGCCCGCACAAGCGGUGGAGUAUGUGGUUUAAUUCGAUGCAACGCGAAGAACCUUACCAGGGUUUGACAUCCUGCGAAUCUCUUGGAAACAGGAGAGUGCCUUCGGGAACGCAGUGACAGGUGGUGCAUGGCUGUCGUCAGCUCGUGUCGUGAGAUGUUGGGUUAAGUCCCGCAACGAGCGCAACCCACGUCUUUAGUUGCCAGCAUUUAGUUGGGCACUCUGAAAGAACUGCCAGUGAUAAGCUGGAGGAAGGUGGGGAUGACGUCAAGUCCUCAUGGCCCUUACGUGUUGGGCUACACACGUGCUACAAUGCUACGGACAAAGGGCAGCAAGUUCGCGAGGACAAGCAAAUCCCAUAAACCGUGGCUCAGUUCAGAUCGUAGGCUGCAACUCGCCUACGUGAAGGCGGAAUCGCUAGUAAUCG
rnacentral:rRNA from 1 species